UACGGAGGGAGCUAGCGUUGCUCGGAAUUACUGGGCGUAAAGCGCACGUAGGCGGCUUUUUAAGUCAGGGGUGAAAUCCCGGGGCUCAACCCCGGAACUGCCCUUGAAACUGGAGAGCUAGAAUCUUGGAGAGGCGAGUGGAAUUCCGAGUGUAGAGGUGAAAUUCGUAGAUAUUCGGAAGAACACCAGUGGCGAAGGCAGCGAAUUGGCGCUAUAUUGACGCUCAGGCACGAAAGCAUGGGGAUCAAACAGG
rnacentral:rRNA from 1 species